rnacentral:rRNA from 1 species
GACGAACGCUGGCGGCGUGCUUAACACAUGCAAGUCGAACGGAAAGGCCCUGCUUUUGUGGGGUGCUCGAGUGGCGAACGGGUGAGUAAAACGUGAGUAACCUGCCCUUGACUUUGGGAUAACUUCAGGAAAAUGGGGCUAAUACCGGAUAGGAGCUCCUGCUGCAUGGUGGGGGUUGGAAAGUUUCGGCGGUUGGGGAUGGACUCGCGGCUUAUCAGCUUGUUGGUGGGGUAGUGGCUUACAAAGGCUUUGACGGGUAGCCGGCCUGAGAGGGUGACCGGCCACAUUGGGACUGAGAGACGGCCCAGACUGCUACGGGAGGCAGCAGUGGGGAAUAUUGCACAAUGGGCGGAAGCCUGAUGCAGCAACGCCGCGUGCGGGAUGACGGCCUUCGAGUUGUAAACCGCUUUCGCCUGUGACGAAGCGGGAGUGACGGUAAUGGGUAAAGAAGCACCGGCUAACUACGUG